rnacentral:lncRNA from 1 species
UUAUAAUAAUUUUUAUUUGAUAAUUUAUGUUAUUUGAACGAAUAAUUAGGUUCAAGUGGUAUAUUCUUAAAGUUAAGUGGUUUUAAAAAAGGAGGUAUUGAUACAUUGUUUCUAUAAACUGAACCCGUAAAUAUUUUAUUAAAUAUUUCCGGAGUGUUAUGAGGGUCAUAUUAAAAAUUUGGUUAAGACAUUUUAACGUUUAAAUAUUAAUUAAAUGAAAAG